GCUCCCUUAACCCUAGUCAGGACAAUGGGCCUCGCCUUUCGAGCGAGACAGUCACGGGUUCAAAUCCCGUAGGGAGCA
rnacentral:tRNA from 2 species